CGGGUACUCCUACCUGAAUUGAGGUCAAACUUUAAGAACAUUGUUCGCCUAGACGCUCUCUUCUUAUCGAUAACGUUCCAAUACGCUCAGUAUAAAAAAAGAUUAGCCGCAGUUGGUAAAACCUAAAACGACCGUACUUGCAUUAUACCUCAAGCACGCAGAGAAACCUCUCUUUGGAAAAAAAACAUCCAAUGAAAAGGCCAGCAAUUUCAAGUUAACUCCAAAGAGUAUCACUCACUACCAAACAGAAUGUUUGAGAAGGAAAUGACGCUCAAACAGGCAUGCCCCCUGGAAUACCAAGGGGCGCAAUGUGCGUUCAAAGAUUCGAUGAUUCACGGAAUUCUGCAAUUCACAUUACGUAUCGCAUUUCGCUGCGUUCUUCAUCGAUGCGAGAACCAAGAGAUCCGUUGUUGAAAGUUUUUAAUAUUUUAAAAUUUCCAGUUACGAAAAUUCUUGUUUUUGACAAAAAUUUAAUGAAUAGAUAAAAUUGUUUGUGUUUGUUACCUCUGGGCCCCGAUUGCUCGAAUGCCCAAAGAAAAAGUUGCAAAGAUAUGAAAACUCCACAGUGUGUUGUAUUGAAACGGUUUUAAUUGUCCUAUAACAAAAGCACAGAAAUCUCUCACCGUUUGUAAUAGCAAGAAAGAAACUUACAGCCCUAGCAAGACCGCGCACUUAAGCGCAGCCCCGGCUGGACUCUCCAUCUCUUGUCUUCUUGCCCAGUAAAGGCUCUCAUGCUCUUGCCAAAACAAAAAAAUCCAAUUUCAAAAUUAUAUAAUUUCCUUAAUGAUCCUUCCGCAGGUUCACCUACG
rnacentral:misc_RNA from 1 species